UAUUCAUGAAGACAUUCCUGGAAGCCGAGCUUCCUGAUGAUUUCACUGCACACCUUUUCAUGUCAUUUAGCAACAAGUUUCCUCAUUCUAGUCCAAUGGUAAAAAGUAAGCCUGCUCUCCUAUCAGGCGGUCUGAGAAUGAAUAAAGGUGCCAUCACCCCUCCCCGGACUACUUCUCCUGCAAAUACGUGUUCCCCAGAAGUAAUCCAUCUGAAGGACAUUGUCUGUUACCUGUCUCUGCUUGAAAGAGGAAGACCUGAGGAUAAGCUUGAGUGAAAGACAAUCAACAGUGAAAAAGGAAAAGAGUGGUUCCCAGCAGCCAAACAAAGUGAUUGACAAGAAUAAAAUGCAAAGAGCCAACUCUGUUACUGUAGAUGGACAAGGCCUGCAGGUCACUCCUGUGCCUGGUACUCACCCACUUUUAGUUUUUGUGAACCCCAAAAGUGGUGGAAAACAAGGAGAACGAAUUUACAGAAAAUUCCAGUAUCUAUUAAAUCCUCGUCAGGUUUACAGUCUUUCUGGAAAUGGACCAAUGCCAGGGUUAAACUUUUUCCGUGAUGUUCCUGACUUCAGAGUGUUAGCCUGUGGUGGAGAUGGAACCGUGGGCUGGGUUUUGGAUUGCAUAGAAAAGGCCAAUGUAGGCAAGCAUCCUCCAGUUGCGAUUCUGCCUCUUGG
rnacentral:lncRNA from 1 species